GCUGAGCAUUGGAGGGGUCUGAGAAAGCAUGCCUCUCUCUCACGGCCUGGCUCAGUAGCUACUCAGCAUGAAGCAUGAUCUGGCCCUACAAUUAGGGAACUCUGCUUGUUUGCGCAUCUCUGCUGGGUCCUGACUGGACUCUAUUUUCGGUGGACAGUAUUGGCUGUUCAUUGGUUCCCACAACUAACACUGGUGUGGAGCCUCCAGUCCUCUUCAAGACACUGCCUAAUUCCCUGUUCUGUGUUGGCUACAAUGCACUGACUGAAGGGUGGAAGCAAGACUCCCAUGUCCUAUCCUCUACUCCCAUCCAUCUAGCAAUGGCUCUCCUUCCCUGGGCCCCACACAGGGCUGGUGAUGCAGGGAGCCAUGCAGGAGACUGAGGGGAUGACUCAGGCUGCUUACACGCUUGCAGGGGCACACAAUUGGACUCACAACUACAGGUGGUUGGAAACUCCAUUGUUUUCCUAUGGAAAAUGUUGUUGGGGAAAAUAUAUCUAGGUUUUUAAUUUUUUUUUUACUAGAAAGUAUUGUAGUUUCCAUGAGAAUUUUUGUUACAAAAUAAAAAUAAAACACUUCA